GACGAACGCUGGCGGCGUGCUUAACACAUGCAAGUCGAACGGAAAGGCCCUGCUUUUGUGGGGUUCUCGAGUGGCGAACGUGUGAGUAACACGUGAGUAACCUUCCCUUGACUUUGGGAUAACUUCAGGAAACUGGUGCUAAUACCUGAUAGGAGCUCCUGCUGUAUGGUGGGGGUUGGAAAGUUUCGGCGGUUGUGGAUGGACUCGCGGCUUAUCAGCUUGUUGGUGGGGUAGUGGCUUACCAAGGCUUUGACGGGUAGCCGGCCUGAGAGGGUGACCGGCCACAUUGGGACUGAGAUACGGACCAGACUCCUACGGGAGGCAGCAGUGGGGAAUAUUGCACAAUGGGCGGAAGCCUGAGGCAGCAACGCCGCGUGCGGGAUGACGGCCUUCGGGUUGUAAACCGCUUUCGCCUGUGACGAAGCGUGAGUGACGGUAAUGGGUAAAGAAGCACCGGCUAACUACGUG
rnacentral:rRNA from 1 species